AUUGAACGCUGGCGGCAGGCUUAACACAUGCAAGUCGAGCGAGCGGCGGACGGGUGUGUAAUGUCUGGGAAACUGCCUGAUGGAGGGGGAUAACUACUGGAAACGGUAGCUAAUCCCGCAUACCAUCAGAUGUGCACAGAUGGGAUUAGCUAGUAGGUGGGGUAAUGGCUCCCAUAGGCGAAGAUCCCUAGCGGGUCUGCGGGGAUGACCGGCCACCCGGGAGCGGGUACAGGGUCCAGACUCCUACGGGAGGAAGCAGUGGGGAAUAUUGCACAAUGGGCGCAAGCAGGAUGCAGCCAUGCGGCGUGGGUGACGAGGGCCUUGGGGUUGUAAAGCACUUUCAGCGAGGAGACGGUACUCGCAGAAGAAGCACCGGCUAACUCCGUGCCAGCAGCCGCGGUAAUUC
rnacentral:rRNA from 1 species